rnacentral:rRNA from 1 species
UACGUAGGGGGCAAGCGUUGUCCGGAUUUAUUGGGCGUAAAGAGCGUGUAGGCGGCCUGGUAGGUCAGCUGUGAAAACUCGAGGCUCAACCUCGAGACGCCGGUUGAAACCAUCAGGCUAGAGUCCGGAAGAGGAGAGUGGAAUUCCCGGUGUGGCGGUGAAAUGCGCAGAUAUCGGGAAGAACACCCGUGGCUAAGGCGGCUCUCUAGUACGGUACUGACGCUGAGACGCGAAAGCGUGGGGAGCGAACAGG